rnacentral:rRNA from 1 species
CGUGAGAUGUUGGGUUAAGUCCCGCAACGAGCGCAACCCCUAUUGUUAGUUGCCAUCAUUCAGUUGGGCACUCUAGCGAGACUGCCGGUAAUAAACCGGAGGAAGGUGGGGAUGACGUCAAAUCAUCAUGCCCCUUAUGACCUGGGCUACACACGUGCUACAAUGGUUGGUACAACGAGUUGCGAGUCGGUGACGGCAAGCUAAUCUCUUAAAGCCAAUCUCAGUUCGGAUUGUAGGCUGCAACUCGCCUACAUGAAGUC